CCCUUAGAUGUUCUGGGCUGCACGCGCGCUACACUGACGCACGCAACAGGUGCCUGCUCCGAGAGGACUGGGUAAUCAUUUGAGUGUGCGUCGUGAUGGGGAUAGAAUAUUGUAAUUAUUACUCUUCAACGAGGAAUUCCUAGUAAGCGCCAGUCAGCAGCUUGCGCUGAUUACGUCCCUGCCCUUUGUACACACCGCCCGUCGCUCCUACCGAUGGGUGAUCCGGUGAAUGAUUCGGACUUCAGCGGCUCCCCUGGGGUGCGCCGGAGAAAGUUUUGUGAACCUUAUCACUUGGAGGAAGGAGGAGUCGUAACA
rnacentral:rRNA from 1 species